UAGUCAUAUGCUUGUCUCAAAGAUUAAGCCAUGCAUGUCUAAGUAUGAACACGCUUUGUACGGUGAAACUGCGAAUGGCUCAUUAUAUCAGUGAUCAUUUAUUUGAUGAUGCCUUACUACGUGGAUAACCGUGGUAAUUCUAGAGCUAAUACAUGCACACGACUCCCGACUCGCGAGGGAAGGGAGGUAUUUAUUAGGUAAGAACCAGCCCUGGCAACAGGAGCUCUGGUGAUUCAUGAUAACUGCACGAAUCGCACGGCCUUGAGCUGGCGAUGGA
rnacentral:rRNA from 1 species